CCUACGGGUGGCAGCAGUGAGGAAUAUUGGUCAAUGGGCUUACGCCUGAACCAGCCAAGUCGCGUGAGGGAAGACUGCCCUAUGGGUUGUAAACCUCUUUUGUCAGGGAGCAAUUUGCGCUACGUGUAGCGUUAUCGAGAGUACCUGCAGACAAAGCAUCGGCUAACUCGGUGCUAGCAGCCGCGGUAAUACGGGGGAGGCGAGCGUUAUCCGGAUUUAUUGGGGUUAAAGGGUGCGUAGGCGGCAUGCCAAGUCAGCGGUAAAAUCGCGGGGCUCAACCGCGCUCCGCCGUUGAAACUGGCGGUCUGGAGUGGGCGAGAAGGAGGCGGAAUGCGUGGUGUAGCGGUGAAAUGCGUAGAUAUCACGCAGAACUCCGAUGGCGAAGGCAGCAUCCCGGCGCCCAACUGACGCUGAAGCACGAAAGCGUGGGGAGCGAACAGGAUUAGAUACCCGUGUAGUC
rnacentral:rRNA from 1 species